rnacentral:sRNA from 17 species
AAUUUGCGUUAGGGAUUGAAGCGGCAUCCUUUUUUGAAGUGCUGAGCCCAGAGCCUGUCGAAGGGUCGAAGCACACAAAAAAGAUAUAGCGGAAAGCCCGACCAUCG